AGGACUUGACAUCCAGAGAACUUUCCAGAGAUGGAUUGGUGCCUUCGGGAACUCUGUGACAGGUGCUGCAUGGCUGUCGUCAGCUCGUGUUGUGAAAUGUUGGGUUAAGUCCCGUAACGAGCGCAACCCUUAUCCUUAUUUGCCAGCACUUCGGGUGGGAACUCUAGGGAGACUGCCGGUGACAAACCGGAGGAAGGUGGGGACGACGUCAAGUCAUCAUGGCCCUUACGUCCUGGGCUGCACACGUGCUACAAUGGCCGGUACAGAGGGCAGCGAAGUCGCGAGGCGGAGCAAAUCUCUCAAAACCGGUCGUAGUCCGGAUUGGAGUCUGCAACUCGACUCCAUGAAGU
rnacentral:rRNA from 1 species